rnacentral:lncRNA from 1 species
UUAGGAUUACCAUGCAACUUUAGGAUGUCAAUAACUUUGUAUUGUGCUGAGUGUUUUCCUCAACACUCAUAGAUUUGGCUCAAAAAUGGUACUAACAUCUGAGUCCAGGUUUAAUUUAGAAUUUUAAGCAAUUCGUUAUGCUAAAAAGCUCUCCUUAGACUUGCGAAAGAUCUGCCAAGGAGAGGACAAGUCUUUAAGGAGCAUUAUCUCACAGUUUAAUGCAAAAGCAAUAUAGGUGGAGGAGUUAAAUCAUGAGA